rnacentral:rRNA from 1 species
GGGGCAGCGGGGUAGUGCUUGCACUACUGCCGGCGACCGGCGCACGGGUGAGUAACACGUAUGGAACCUGCCCGCAGCAGGGGGAUAAGCGGAAGAAAUUCCGUCUAAUACCGCGUAACAACGUUGGGAGGCAUCUCCCGAUGUUUAAAGAUUUAUCGGCUGCGGAUGGCCAUGCGGCGCAUUAGCUAGUCGGCGGGGUAACGGCCCACCGAGGCGACGAUGCGUAGGGGUUCUGAGAGGAAGGUCCCCCACACUGGUACUGAGACACGGACCAGACUCCUACGGGAGGCAGCAGUGAGGAAUAUUGGUCAAUGGCCGAGAGGCUGAACCAGCCAAGUCGCGUGAGGGGAGACGGCCCUACGGGUUGUAAACCUCUUUUGUCGGGGAGCAAAGCGAACCACGUGUGGUUCAUUGAGAGUACCCGAAGAAAAAGCAUCGGCUAACUCCGUGCCAGCAGCCGCGGUAAUACGGAGGAUGCGAGCGUUAUCCGGAUUUAUUGGGUUUAAAGGGUGCGCAGGCGGAGGUGCAAGUCAGCGGUCAAAUUGCGGGGCUCAACCCCGUACUGCCGUUGAAACUGCAUCCCUUGAGUGCGCGAGAAGUCCCCGGCCUGCGUGGUGUAGCGGUGAAAUGCAUA